AUCCAGCUGACGAGUGCCAAAUAGAACGAAACGUGCCUCCUGGAU
rfam:Schistosoma curassoni strain Dakar, Senegal genome assembly, scaffold: SCTD_scaffold0009099